CAUGUGCACACAUGUUGUCCACUAAAGUUUUUUGCGUGCAUGUAAGUGCACUGAGUGAAACACCAACCUCCAGCUAUAAGGACUGUGGGGAGACGGCCAGAGGAAGCCAGCGAGAACCUCCCUGAUCAGACACUUCUCUCUUUCCUUUCCUGCCCACGUCCUGUUGCUCCAUGCUGUCAGUCCACCUUAGCAACACAGCAUCUCUUCAGAUGUCCAAAGCAUCUGCCUUAGUUUCUUCAUUGUCAAGGUUUUGGUUUAUUUUGAGUCUGGUUUGACCUGAAAUUCUUAUUCUUUAGUUAUUACAGCCAUUAGUAACUCCAGACACCUUCUGCUGACGUAAUACAAAGACCUUUCACACCUGAAACUAAACUAAAUCCAAGGAUUUAUUUUCACUGUUUCCAUCUCACAAAGAGUUCAGGUGUCACAGUGAUGUCAUGAACACGCCCCCUGUCUCAGUGUGACAUCACUAAUGAUCUAAAACACACACACAUCUUCUAAAGCUCUUCUCUGCAGAGUUGCCAACAGCCAAACGAUGUUCCAGCUGUUUCUGUCUGCAGUUGCGGUUUUUGUGCAUCUGUUUUCUUCACUGCAGAGAUGUGUGUAUCAGUCAGUCGUAUCCAAAAUGAAACAAGUCAAAUUAUCCACAUGUUGGUGAAAGCCACAAAACAACAAGACAACAAAUGAGACCAAAGUUUAUUGAUCCUGCAGAGAAACCAGACCACUGCUACCGUCACAAAUAAACUUAAAGUUAAGUUGCUGAGAACAUAAAAGAUAACAAAAAUAUAUAUCUAUGAAAGAAACUUAAUGUUAAAAGCAUCAACAACUUAAUACAUUUACAUAUUGUUGAUUUAAUAAAAAUACAGUAAAUACAGCAAUAAAAUCCAGAGCUUUAUUAGUUUAAUCUAGAGAGAUUUAAACGUACUGUGUAGAAAUACUUUAGGGGCUGAGUGCUCAGUGGGUGGACUGGUGGACUACUUCAGUGAAGAGUAGACGACCUCUGGAGGAACCUCUGAACACAGACGCACAGUUCAAAGUAAAUCAGACACUGUGGUAGGUUUUCAGGUUUUGUACAACUCUACAAAAUCUGCCUCAGUAAUGGUCCCAGGUCAGUCUGACUACACCAGUCAUCUGUGUUACUGUCCUGAUCUUUCUAUAACACACACACAAAGAAAAUGACAAACAGAAGCAACAAAACACAACCUCAGAUUCUGACAUGUGCAUGUAACCCAGCAGAAACAGAAUUUCCUUAUUUUAUUGAGAAGAAUUUAAUUGAAUUCAACAUGUACUUGUAUCAUUUCCCUGCUAGUUUAAGGUUGACCACACUGUCCUUAUUGUAGGUUAUUUGGUUCAUUAUUUGCCUGUCAGCUUUAUUUUAUUGUUUUUGGUGGAACCAUGAAAUGAGGAGGCGGCAGGAAGCAAGUUCCACC